rnacentral:sRNA from 1 species
GCAACCUGAUGGGGAAGUCAAGCAGGAACUCCGCAUCUGCUAUCAGUGUGCAGAGAACGGGGGACAA